rnacentral:rRNA from 1 species
UGGGGAAUAUUGCACAAUGGGGGAAACCCUGAUGCAGCGACGCCGCGUGAACGAAGAAGGUAUUCGUAUCGUAAAGUUCUGUCCUAUGGGAAGAUAAUGACAGUACCAUAGAAGAAAGCUCCGGCUAAAUACGUGCCAGCAGCCGCGGUAAUACGUAGGGAGCGAGCGUUGUCCGGAAUUAUUGGGCGUAAAGGGUACGCAGGCGGUUUAAUAAGUCGACUGUUAAAGAUCGGGGCUCAACCCCGCAAAGCAUUGGAAACUGAUAAACUUGCGUAGUGGAGAGGAAAGUGGAAUUCCAAGUGUAGUGGUGAAAUACGUAGAUAUUAGGAGGAAUACCAGUAGCGACGGCGACUUUCUGGACACAAACUGACGCUGAGGUACGAAAGCGUGGGGAGCAAACAGG